rnacentral:rRNA from 1 species
AACGAACGCUGGCGGCAGGCCUAACACAUGCAAGUCGAGCGAAGUCUUCGGACUUAGCGGCGGACGGGUGAGUAACGCGUGGGAAUAUGCCCUUCUCUACGGAAUAGCCUCGGGAAACUGGGAGUAAUACCGUAUACGCCCUUUGGGGGAAAGAUUUAUCGGAGAAGGAUUAGCCCGCGUUGGAUUAGGUAGUUGGUGGGGUAAUGGCCUACCAAGCCGACGAUCCAUAGCUGGUUUGAGAGGAUGAUCAGCCACACUGGGACUGAGACACGGCCCAGACUCCUACGGGAGGCAGCAGUGGGGAAUCUUAGACAAUGGGCGCAAGCCUGAUCUAGCCAUGCCGCGUGAUUGAUGGAGGCCUUAGGGUUGUAAAGAUCUUUCAGCUGGGAAGAUAAUGACGGUACCAGCAGAAGAAGCCCCGGCUAACUCCGUGCCAGCAGCCGCAGUAACAC